UACAGAGGGGGCAAGCGUUAUUCGGAAUUAUUGGGCGUAAAGGGCGCGUAGGCGGCCUGACAAGUGGAAGGUGAAAUCCCUCGGCUUAACCGAGGAACUGCCCUCCAAACUGUCUGGCUUGAGACCGGGAGAGGUGAGUGGAAUUCCCAGUGUAGCGGUGAAAUGCGCAGAUAUCAGGAGGAACACCGGUGGCGAAGGCAGGUCUCUGGGCAUUAACUGACGCUGAGGAGCGAAAGCAUGGGGAGCGAACAGG
rnacentral:rRNA from 1 species